CCUACGGGAGGCAGCAGUGAGGAAUAUUGGUCAAUGGGCGCGAGCCUGAACCAGCCAAGUAGCGUGAAGGAUGACUGCCCUACGGGUUGUAAACUUCUUUUAUAAAGGAAUAAAGUGAGGCACGUGUGCCUUUUUGUAUGUACUUUAUGAAUAAGGAUCGGCUAACUCCGUGCCAGCAGCCGCGGUAAUACGGAGGAUCCGAGCGUUAUCCGGAUUUAUUGGGUUUAAAGGGAGCGUAGAUGGGUUGUUAAGUCAGUUGUGAAAGUUUGCGGCUCAACCGUAAAAUUGCAAUUGAUACUGGCAGCCUUGAGUACAGUUGAGGUAGGCGGAAUUCGUGGUGUAGCGGUGAAAUGCUUAGAGAUCACGAAGAACUCCGAUUGCGAAGGCAGCUUACUAAACUGCCACUGACAUUGAUGCUCGAAAGCGCGGGUAUCGAACAGGAUUAGAUACCCCGGUAGUC
rnacentral:rRNA from 1 species